AAAAAAAAAAAAAAAAAAAAAAAAAGGCCACUCCCAUGGUCUGGCCAUAGAUCUGCAUAAUCUACCCACUCCUGCAUUCUGCGGUCUCAUUUUCUCAUUUCCAAACUCCUCUGAGCCUCGCUCCUGCAGGGAGUGUUUUCCAAUCCUCCAGGGCUGCCCAAAUAGGGCUAGGUGUCCUCUGUCCUCACUCGCCUUCCACGGUUCUCCCGUGUUGCAUUUGCAGAAUCGCAGUGAUGAUCUGUUCACGUUUCUUUCUCUCCACCCUACGGUGUGAGUUCCCUGAGAGCAGAGGCAUAGCCUGGUCCUGGCACGGUGCCUGGCACACAGUACGCACCUGAUAUAUGUGAUUGACUUGAACUUCAUGUGGUUAGAGGGUGUGUAGGUAGGUGGUGGUGGUGGGGAAGCCUCACUGUGGUCUCAAAGUCUGGAGCUCCUUUGCGUGUUUAUCUGGCCUUUGCGAUGCAAAUCUGGGAGGAUCAGUGUUUGCAUGGAGAGCAGGAAAGAAAAGCAGUGGAAAGAGGACAAAGGACGGUUUCACACAGCGCUGACUCCCCCUCACACAGACUUGGGGAUCGAUCAGCGUCUGGGGCAUCAAGAGGCAGUCUGGGGGCUGGAUUCACGAGGUAAGGUGUUGAGCAGACGGGAUAGGGAGGUGGAGCAGGGGCGCAGGCACCAACACGUGAGAGAGGCACUUCCCCCUUCUUCCCUGGGUGUGUGCAGUGGGGGCUCCAGAAACGCCCCACCCCUGGGAAAGGGGCGAGUGAGGCUGGCCCCAUCUUUCCAGCCCCCGGCGAGCUCCAGCGUCCGCGAGGACAGGGAGGCCUCUAGCGGCCGGCGUGGGAAGCAGGCAAAGGCCGGCUGCGGAGGGCGGGAGGACAUUUCCUACCCGGGCCUGGGGCCGCGCGCUUUCGCAAAGGAAGUGCCUCCCGGACGCAGGGCGGGGCGGGAAGUGGGGGGCGGAGGCGCGGCCAAUGGCAGCUCAGAGGCCGCAAGGGGGCGGGACGGGCCGAGUCCCGGCGCCAGCCCCACCCAGGCUGCCCCGCAGAGCCAGGCGCCGGAGCCCGCCGCAUCCAGGCCAACAAGUUCUGCCGCUGGAGCUUCCACCCCGAGCCUCGCCCCGCUCCCCGCCUCUGCCUUCGGGCCGCACAAGCCCCGCCCCUGCCGCUCCAGGGCAGAGGCCGCGCCCCCUUCCCCGCCGCAUUCCAGGGCUGCCCCUCCCCAGGCCUUCGAAUUUUGCUUUCCAGCUAGCAGUAUCCCGUUGUGUGUCCAGGCAUUUAAUUAG
rnacentral:lncRNA from 1 species